GCGCGAUGUCCUGCCUGUGCCCCUCACGCCGCCCCCUGCAGGGCAGCCCUGCCACCCCGAGUGCUGUAGCUCGUUCUGUCUGUCCCUGUCGGGGUGAGCUCCGUGCAGUGUGUUUGCAGAGGCUUGGCGUUUGGGCCUCUAACUGGAAGCCAUCUUUGUUCCCUGCAGGCCAUGAAGUACUUGUCGUACCUGCUGUACCCGCUCUGUGUCGGGGGCGCUGUCUAUUCACUCCUGAACAUCAAAUACAAGAGCUGGUACUCCUGGUUAAUCAACAGCUUCGUCAACGGGGUCUAUGCCUUCGGUUUCCUCUUCAUGUUGCCCCAGCUCUUUGUGAACUACAAGGUAAGGCGGUGUGUGCUGCCCGCAGCCCGGCCCCCGUCUCCUGUGCUGCCCACAGCUGACCUGUGCCUGUCUUUCCUGUUUCAGUUGAAGUCAGUGGCACAUUUGCCCUGGAAGGCUUUCACCUACAAGGCUUUCAACACCUUCAUUGAUGACGUUUUUGCCUUCAUCAUCACCAUG
rnacentral:sRNA from 1 species